UACAGAGGUCCCAAGCGUUGUUCGGAUUCACUGGGCGUAAAGGGUGCGUAGGUGGUUGGGUAAGUCUGAUGUGAAAUCUCCGGGCUCAACCCGGAAAUGGCAUUGGAUACUAUCCAGCUCGAGGAUCGGAGGGGGGACUGGAAUUCUUGGUGUAGCAGUGAAAUGCGUAGAUAUCAAGAGGAACACCAGUGGCGAAGGCGAGUCCCUGGACGACUCCUGACACUGAGGCACGAAAGCUAGGGGAGCAAACAGG
rnacentral:rRNA from 1 species